rnacentral:lncRNA from 1 species
AGAAUUCCAGUUUGGUCUAAUUUAGGUAGGAAGAUCUGCCCACUAUGGGUCGCACCAUUCAUGAGCUAUACUGAAGAGGAAAGAAAACUGAGGAUCUGCAUGAAUUAACAGUUCUCUGUUUCCUGAUUGUUGACGCUUGUUCCUAAGGAAAUCCAAGGAAGGCAACUUCAUGAAGCAUGGAGUACUGGUUUAUAUGAAGGUUGCAUGCACGGUACAAAGCAAUUUAGAUCUACCAACAGCUGUGAGUGAAACAACAUUGAAGGCCAGAGAAAUGGCUACAUGGAUAAAGUAAUACAUUUUAUAAGGAGAUGCAACAUCAUCUGUCAGCGACAUCCAUGGCCUGAAGUACUUGAAUGGAUAAAGAUGAUGAUGAUGAUGAUGAGGAGGAGCAGAAAGAGGAAGAGGAGGGCUGACAAAUGAUGAUGGAUUUAUGAUGAAUAGUGCUCAAAAAGAAAACAAAAACAAAUAAAAGCUAAAGUUCUGCUCA